GAUGAACGCUGGCGGCGUGCCUAAUACAUGCAAGUCGAGCGAACAGACGAGGAGCUUGCUCCUUUGACGUUAGCGGCGGACGGGUGAGUAACACGUAGGUAACCUACCUAUAAGACUGGGAUAACUUCGGGAAACCGGAGCUAAUACCGGAUAAUAUUUCGAACCGCAUGGUUCGAUAGUGAAAGAUGGCUUUGCUAUCACUUAUAGAUGGACCUGCGCCGUAUUAGCUAGUUGGUAAGGUAACGGCUUACCAAGGCAACGAUACGUAGCCGACCUGAGAGGGUGAUCGGCCACACUGGAACUGAGACACGGUCCAGACUCCUACGGGAGGCAGCAGUAGGGAAUCUUCCGCAAUGGGCGAAAGCCUGACGGAGCAACGCCGCGUGAGUGAUGAAGGUCUUCGGAUCGUAAAACUCUGUUAUUAGGGAAGAACAAGCGUGUAAGUAACUGUGCACGUCUUGACGGUACCUAAUCAGAAAGCCACGGCUAACUACGUG
rnacentral:rRNA from 1 species